GUACACGCUGUGACUAGCAUAUCAAUAAGCGGAGGAAAAGAAACUAACAAGGAUUCCCUCAGUAACGGCGAGUGAAGCGGGAAGAGCUCAAAUUUGAAAUCUUGAAAGGUCACCUUUCACGAAUAGUAGUUUAAAGAAGUGUUUUCUGUUACGAUCGUAAUAUAAGUUCUUUGGUAUAGGACAUCACAGAGGGUGAGAAUCCCGUCUAUGAUUGCGAUUUGUAGCUUUGUGAUACACUUUCAAAGAGUCGGGUUGUUUGGGAAUGCAGCCCAAAACGGGAGGUAAAUUUCUUCUAAGGCUAAAUAUUGGCGAGAGACCGAUAGCGAACAAGUACCGUGAGGGAAAGAUGAAAAGAACUUUGAAAAGAGAGUUAAAUAGUACGUGAAAUUGUCAAAAGGGAAGCGUUUAACACCAGUGUUGUUUUCUGAAAAUCAACCUCUGUUAGCUUUAUGCAUGUUUGUUUAGACCUAAUCAGCUAUCUUGCAUGUUCUAUUGUUUGCAGUGGUGCACUUUUCAGUUUACAGGUCAACAUCAGUUUUUUUUACCGUAAAAAAGUUAAAGAAAGGUAGCUCAUGGCUCCGGUCGUGAGUGUUAUAGUCUUUUUCCUAUGCGGUAGGAGAGACUGAGGUCUGCAGUGUAGGCUAUUUGGCUAGAUACUCAGGUGCUAUGUGAUACCAUUUCAUAAACAACUUGUUGAUUAUGUUUUGUCUAUUGCAUACUCGCUUGUACUAUCAUACCUACGCUUAGGAUGUUGAGUAGCGACAUACGCAC
rnacentral:rRNA from 1 species